AGACUGAAGGAGAGCAGACAACAAGCAAGGAGACUAGUAUACAAGGAGUUUCAACAAUUCUACUUCAUCUGAUGCCUAUACUUUAGACAACUCAUGAGGCAAACUGUUAGAGCCACUGCCAGUUGCUCAAGCUAAUACACUGACUCCAGAAUCUCUGGUAGGUACAUCUUCCUUUCUCCCUGGUCUAACACCCUUAAGUCUAUUCAGACAUAUAUCCCCCAGGUUUCUACCAAUAUGAAUUGGUAAAUUAUUCUGGUGUUCAGACUUAAUACUUAUUCCCCUAAGAUCUGCAGGAUUUAAGUUUAAUUAUGGAUCUCAAAGAAAUGAGUGACAGUGGAGUUGGAUUUAGAAGUGAAUUAUUUCCCUAUAAAUCAAGAAUCUCAAGUGAGGUAAUUACAGGGUUUUCAGGCAAUCAACACAAGGAGAAAUGACUGCUUCCCAGCAUGAAGAAUCAGCAGGAUUUGGGGAAUACAAGGCAACAUUUAUUUAAAUCUAUCCAAAUGAUCUCUUUUUGAUUAUCAGGAUCCUUUAUUUCCCAUUUGAUAUCUUAAUUCUAACAUAAGAAGUCUACUGAGGCCACAAACUCAUUUGCAUUGUAUUUCAAGCAACUUCAGGAUCAGACAUUGGGUUUUAUUUUCAGAAGUUAUGAUCCUAUUACUAUAAAAAAUAAGGGUUUCUUGGCCGGGCACAGUGGCUCACACCUAUAAUCCCAGCACUUUGGGAGGCCGAGGCGGGCAAAUCACGAGGUCGGGAGAUCGAGACCAUCCUGGCUAACACGGUGAAAACCCGUCUCCACUAAAAAUACAAAAAAUUAGCCGGCCAUGGUGGCAGGGCGCCUGUGGUCCCAGCUACUCGGGAGGCUGAGGCAGGAGAAUCGCAUGAACCCAGGAGGCGGCGCUUGCACUGAGCCGAGAUCGCGCCACUGCACUCCAGCCUGGGCGACAAAGUGAGACUCCGUCUCAAAAAAAAAAUAAAAUAAAAUAAAUUAAAAAAAAAAUAAGGGUUUCUUUUAGGUCAGUCAGAGAUGCUACCUGGUUCUCCAACCAUUAAUUACAGCCCUAAACUUGUCAUUUAUUUUCCAUUAGUUCUCCAGUGCAGUGAGAAUAGGACAGCACAUCCCAUGGUCCUUCUUGUCUUAGUUUUCAUCAUAAUUUUCCAUUGCAAUAGCUAUUUGGUUUCCCAAAGCUACUUGGUUUCCUUUCUUCUACAGAUACUUGGCUCCAUAACACUAUGUAUGAGAACUCAUAACACUGCUAGUAAGAACUCAGAAGGAAGUGUGCAGCAUGAGAGAGAAAACAUAUAUUGUCUUAGAGAAUACUAUACCUAAGUCAUUGAGAACAGACUGGAGAUAGAAAAAUGGUCAUUAAGGUCAUUGCCAAUGAAUGCUCAGAAGGAAAUGAGAAACAUGUUAUUGGAAACUAGAGGCAAGGGAAUCCGUGUUACACAGUAACAGAAAAUUUGGCUGAAUUAGGUGUUGCAGUUAUGUGGAAUACAAAACUUACAAAUGAUAACUUAGACAUUUAGUUGAGGAAAUUUCCAAGCAAAGCAUUGAAGGUGUAGUCUGGUUUCUUACUGUUUAUAGUAAAUAUGAGAGGAAAAAGAAAGAUUGGGGGAGAACUCGUAAGCAAAGAGGAAUAAGGACUUGAUAAUUCAGGAAAUUCUCAGCCUAUCCAGACUACAAGAGAGACUAAAAUUAAGAGAGUCACUGUCAGUUAAGUGUGUUCUGCACAGAAAGCCAAGGUUGCAGAGCUGGAUUGAUUUUCACUAGUUCCUUGGAAAGAUCAAAAGGUCAGGGUCAAAAAGAAAUUUGAAGAUGUUAUGCUGCUGUCUUUAAAGAAUGGGCCGGCCAGACACAGUGGCUCACGCCUGUAAUCCUAACACUUUGAGAGGCUGAGGUGGGCGGAUUGCCUGAGCUCAGGAGUUCCAGACCAGCCUGGGCAACAUGGUGAAACCCCAUCUCUACUAAAAUACGAAAAAUUAGCCAGGCAUGGCAGCGUGCAUCUGUAGUCCCAGCUGCUUGGGAGACUGAGGCAGGAGAAUUGCUUGAACCCGCCUAGGAGGCGGAGGUUGCGGUGAGCCGAGAUCAAGCCACUGUACUCUGGCCUGGGUGACUGAGUGAGACACCGUCUCCAAAAUAAACAAAGAAAGAAAGAAAGAAAGGGCCAUGAGCCAAGGAGUGUAAUUGGAGGAGGCAAGGAAACAAAUUCUCCUCUAGAGUAUAUAGGAGAAAAAUAGUUCUGUUGAUGCCUUGAUUUUACUCCAGUGAAGCCUUUUUUGGACUUCUGACCUCCAGAACUGUAAGAUAAUAAAUUUGUGUGGUUUUCAG